rnacentral:rRNA from 1 species
UACGUAGGGUGCGAGCGUUGUUCGGAAUUACUGGGCGUAAAGGGCUCGUAGGCGGCCAACUAAGUCAGACGUGAAAUCCCUCGGCUUAACUGGGGAACUGCGUCUGAUACUGGAUGGCUUGGAUUCGGGAGAGGAAUGCGGAAUUCCAGGUGUAGCGGUGAAAUGCGUAGAUAUCUGGAGGAACACCGGUGGCGAAGGCGGCAUCCUGGACCGGCAUUGACGCUGAGGAGCGAAAGCUAGGGGAGCAAACGGG